AAAAGCAAGGUAAGGAAAAGUACACAAAGUGCCCAGCCCACCGCAUGUUCCCUGAGGUAAAGAGGGGCCACACAGAUGGCUGAUGUUGCAGAAGCCUCCAGGAACAGAUAAGCUAGCUAAAAUCCAAACUGUAUGGGUCAGGCCAAAUCUGCUUCAGGAGGUUCCCAGCCCCAGCUCACGAUUGCAACCUCUUCCUGGAGGUUUCUGACCUCUCAGCUCUGACAAACGCUGAAUAAUCAUCUUUGUGGUAUGAUUCUAACCGAGGGGACGGAAACCUCCAGCCGAUGGGGAGAGGAUGGGAUCGCUUAAAAUAAUAUAAGCGAGGAAUGCACUCAAUUUACAGCCUGUGUGAUGUGAUGGAGCACGAGGAAGGUGGAACAGAAAGGCUGAAUGUGGAUGAGAACGUGGAGGAGUGUGGAGCGGUUGAUCCUAACAUCUGCAGCCAGCUUAUGACAAGGAUCCCUUCUGGAGAAAAAGGUCUCAAGAGGAGAAAUACAUGAGAAUAGCAAGAUAUCACAAAGGAAAUCAGGUCUGAUCAAGGAGUGCUGAUUCUUUAAAUAGGAUCUUUAAUGAAAACAAAGGCAGUCACCUUGCAUGCACUGUCCACUGUAUUGAAAUGUUCCAAAAACAGUCCCUCUCCCAAGGUAAUACAACAAAACAUUUGCCUAACUCAGACAAAGAAUAUGUUUAAGCUCAGACUAAUUCCUUUUUUAAAAGUUACAUGAAAAUCAUAGUCCAUGAACAACACUGCAGAAUCUGAAGAGAUAUUUCUAGGACAUUGUUUUCCUUUUACUGGAUUUUUUUCAUUAAAAUGAAAUCAAAUAAGUAUCUUUUGAACAUUGAGCAAUACCUCUAAGUAUACCACUGUGCA